rnacentral:rRNA from 1 species
CGAACGGGUGAGUAACGCGUGAGGAACCUGCCUCAGAGAGGGGGACAACAGUUGGAAACGACUGCUAAUACCGCAUAAGCCCACGGCUCGGCAUCGAGCAGAGGGAAAAGGAGUAAUCCGCUUUGAGAUGGCCUCGCGUCCGAUUAGCUAGUUGGUGAGGUAACGGCCCACCAAGGCGACGAUCGGUAGCCGGACUGAGAGGUUGAACGGCCACAUUGGGACUGAGACACGGCCCAG